rnacentral:rRNA from 1 species
AACACAGCACUGUGCAAACACGAAAGUGGACGUAUACGGUGUGACGCCUGCCCGGUGCUGGAAGGUUAAUUGAUGGGGUUAUCCGUAAGGAGAAGCUCUUGAUCGAAGCCCCAGUAAACGGCGGCCGUAACUAUAACGGUCCUAAGGUAGCGAAAUUCCUUGUCGGGUAAGUUCCGACCUGCACGAAUGGCGUAAUGAUGGCCAGGCUGUCUCCACCCGAGACUCAGUGAAAUUGAACUCGCUGUGAAGAUGCAGUGUACCCGCGGCUAGACGGAAAGACCCCGUGAACCUUUACUAUAGCUUGACACUGAACAUUGAGC